CACCACUCCAGAGGAGCACCCAGGAGGGAGCCCGGCAGUGUUGUCCACCUUGCAGAUCAAACGGUGACUGAUAUCCAGGAGGACUUGCCCCACCACCUCCAGGACUGUAUCUGAGAGAGAAGAAUAUCACGUGUGCAUUUUCCCUGGUAAACCACACAGAAAACCAGAAGCAAGUAGAAGGCGCAGAGCCACACCUGGACCUCCAGUGAGCAGAUGAUGCAGACCAAGGGUGCACACUGAAUCCUCCCUGACCCUGGACUUCAGCCCUGGAACUGAGCAGGAAGAGUCUGUUGCAACCACCCAGUCUGUAGCAUCUUGUUAUAGCGGCCCCACCCUGCUGUCCACCCAGACCCUUCUCAAAUGCA